rnacentral:rRNA from 1 species
GACAGAGGGUGCAAACGUUGUUCGGAUUUACUGGGCGUAAAGCGCGUGUAGGCGGCUUGGCAAGUUGGAUGUGAAAGCCCACGGCUCAACCGUGGAAGCGCAUCCAAAACUGCUUCGCUCGAGUCUCGGAGAGGAAGGUGGAAUGCUUGGUGUAGAGGUGAAAUUCGUAGAUAUCAAGCAGAACACCUGCGGCGAAGGCGGCCUUCUGGACGAUGACUGACGCUGAGACGCGAAAGCGUGGGGAGCAACAGG